rnacentral:lncRNA from 1 species
CUUCUCUUCUUCAUUCUUGACACCUUUCUCAUUGUUGCUCUUGUGGUUCUGCUUUAGAAUGACCAUGGAAGCAUUGUUCUUACUGUUCUACAGCGAUGGUAUGGAGGGGACAAGAGGUUUCUUGUUGCCUUACCAAAAGCAACCACAACAAAAAUGAUGACGGGUUGGUGUUAUUUUCCUACAAGAUGCUUGCCCCACUUUCCUAUUCCCUCGCCAAUUCCUUUCUCUCAGUUGAUCAAUCCUGAGCCAAUGUUAGCCUCCAGGUACAUUCUUCUUAUUUGAAUCAAGCAAGAUUUUUUCUUUUUUGGACAAAAAAUCUGUGUAAGAUCGAAUAUUUUAAUUUGGUUUUGUUC